UACGUAGGUGGCAAGCGUUGUCCGGAUUUACUGGGCGUAAAGAGCGCGCAGGCGGUCGUUCAAGUCGCGUGUGAAAGCCCCCCGGCUCAACUGGGGAGGGUCACGCGAUACUGAUCGACUCGAAGGCAGGAGAGGGUAGUGGAAUUCCCGGUGUAGUGGUGAAAUGCGUAGAUAUCGGGAGGAACACCAGUGGCGAAAGCGGGUCUCUGGGCCGUAACGUGACGCUGAGGAGCGAAAGCGUGGGGAGCGAACGAGG
rnacentral:rRNA from 1 species